GAAUGAGAGCUCUCCAGUCUCUGGGUGAAAAACAGCAGGGGUUUUUGUGAGUGGUCCUUCUGAGAACAAUGACACUGGAGCGCGCAUGCACGAGACAACUCCAUGUUUUACUUUCAGUGUUUGAACGAAUACAACGUCGCCCGGUUGGAAUAUUAUCGCUAUUUUACGAGAAAAAUCGCACACAAAUUUAUUUAAACAGCGUUUGACAUGCUUCGAAGUACGGUAAUGGAAUAUUUUGAAAUAUUUUGUCACGAAACGCGCCGGCGCGUCACCCUUCGGAUAGUUACCUGAACGCAUGAACAAAACGGAGCUAUUUCAAUAUAACUAUGGAUUAUUUCGAACCAAAACAACAUUUGUUGUUGAAGUAGAAGUCCUGGGAGUGCAUUCUGACAAAGAACAGCAAAGCAGACGAACAGUGGAGAGGAGCAACGAUUAUCGGGCAACGAGGUGGACUUCAGUCGGUCGAUGUUUCCGGUCUGAAUGGCCUGCUUAUUAAGACAGCUGUGACAGAAUUACCCACCAAACCAGGACCAAGCAGCAGAGGAACGAGGAGGAAGGAUGGACGUGGGCGGAGAUAAGGAGGAGCGUUUCCAGGGCUAUGGAAGAGUUUAGUAAACUCGAGAGGCAGCCCCAAUAAUUGUUUGGCGGGGGGCACAAGGGCAGUUUUGCGGGGCAAGAAUGGAG
rnacentral:lncRNA from 1 species